rnacentral:rRNA from 1 species
GACGAACGCUGGCGGCGUGCUUAACACAUGCAAGUCGAACGGAAAGGCCCUGCUUUUGUGGGGUGCUCGAGUGGCGAACGGGUGAGUAACACGUGAGUAUCCUGCCCUUGACUUUGGGAUAACUUCAGGAAACUGGGGCUAACACCGGAUAGGAGCUCCUGCUGCAUGGUGGGGGUUGGAAAGUUUCGGCGGUUGGGGAUGGACUCGCGGCUUAUCAGCUUGUUGGUGGGGUAGUGGCUUACCAAGGCUUUGACGGGUAGCCGGCCUGAGAGGGUGACCGGCCACAUUGGGACUGUGAUACGGCCCAGACUCCUACGGGAGGCAGAAGAGGGGAAUAUUGCACAAUGGGCGGAAGCCUGAUGCAGCAACGCCGCGUGCGGGAUGACGGCCUUCGGGUUGUAAAACGCUUUCGCCUGUGACGAAGCGUGAGUGACGGUAAUGGGUAAAGAAGCACCGGCUAACUACGUG